UGUAUUUUGUAUUUUAAUACUUUCAUGCAGGCUGCAGUCCUCGGACCUGACGGCAUCCCAGGCUGGGAUAAGGUCCAGGACUUGGCCGAGUACCUGGUGACCCUGCGUCAGGCUCUCUACCUGGACGAGCAGCAGGUCAGAGGUCAUCUGCCUGUGACCUCUGACCUGGACAAGAGGAGGAUCCAUUACCAACCCAGGCACCAAGCCAAGCUGGCACACGGCCGCUUUAAGGCCCCCAAGAAUACGGGCGUCACCCCGGGUGUGGACAGUGUCAAGAGGAGCCUGAUUGGUCCUCCAGGGGGACCGGCUCAGUGGCCCAGCACCAGUCGUCUAGUUGAGGCUCUGUGCAUUAAAUUGUGUUCAUUGCACAAGUCCCCAACAAAAAAGGAUGGAGUGCGGCUUCCUCGGUGGACCAAAGUUCUCACCGACUACCACCACAUCUGAGACCUGGUGCUGGACUGCCCCCCCCUGAUGGAGGCCACCUCUCUGCAGCUUUUUGUCCUCAAUCAGAGGACUCUGACACAGUGUUUUCUGAUUGCAGGUUUAAUCGAAGGGAGAGCACGCAGGAGAUUAGUAUCCUCACCCAGGGCCUUGCUGCAGAGGACCACAUCGUUGUGGCCAGCUCACAGCUGCCUCCUCCGUGGGAGAAGCUGGACGAAGCACCGUCCCCCUCAGGACUCCAGCAUGAGUUUGCCCUCCCGCCAAACAGAGCAGGUAAGGCUCCUAAGCUGCGGCCAGGCAGACGACCUGCUAGUGCCACCGUCCUGCAGCCCGUCACCCCAGCAGUUCCUCUUCUUAUCCCAGCUCAGCUUCUUUUAUUGAACCCUGGGUCGACAGUGAUGGCAGCAGGUCAUCACAGGGCUGCUCCUCCCCUGGCUCCUUAUUUAACACCUGCCACACAGGUGGCUCCUGCACCCACUGCUCCUGCGUCUGUGUGCCGCUUCACUGAGAGGAACAGGCGACGCAGGGCAGAAGAGGAGGCCACCGGGAGCCAGAAACAAAAGUAUGUGAGAGAAGUGGCUUUUAACAAGUGCAGCAAAUGUGGGCAGCCAAAAACAAAAGAGUUUGGCCACAGCCGAUUCAGCAGCGCCACUUUCUGCCCCAGUGCUUCAGGGGCAAAUCCUUGGAGCAGUGGCUGGUAGAACAGCGGCAGCUGAAGAAACCGGGAAACCCACCCUAAUAAUGAUGAUAAUAAUAAUGAUUAUAAUAGUAACAAAACCAAUAACAUGUAAAUAUAUAUAUAUAUAUUAGGGCUGGGCAAGUUAACGCGUUAAUUUCGUGUUAACUCAUUAGACUAUUAACGGCGAUAUUUUCUUUAACGCGCGUUAACGCAUGUUGCUCACAUGCUUUUAUUUUGUGAAGGUCUGUCCAACUUCCGUUUGUGUGUGCCGCACUUCCGUUUCAGCGCUUCCCUCGGCCAAAUAACAUUAGUUUGACUGAAAUGAUCAACUGUCGCGGCAACAGUGUCAAAACUUGCAGAGCGAUCGAAGUGGCAGGUCAGGGCCACAGCUUCAAACUAUUCAUGAGUGAGUGGAUGAUACAAAGAAGUGGCCUCAUAUAACGUACGAGGACAUUUUAACCUGUUUUGUGUCGUUACUUGGUGCGGACGGCUCUGCUGUGCGACUUUACCGAAGCGAACCUCCGCAGUGAAAGAGUUGGAUCGGUGUUAAUAAAUAUCAACAUGGAUGACCUGGUAUUCAUGGAGGCUGAUGUCCGUUCAAGCUAAAACUAGUCCGACGUUCACGCUGCUGGAUUCUGACUGCAUCAAUCGGCUCUACGAGACCUCAGAGCGCUCUGAUGCUGCGGCUCCAGGGGAAGCCUUCAGUCAUGCAGCGGCGACUUAUGGAAGGUAGGCUGAUGAAUUAUCUGAUUCAGAAACAUACUGGCCGUUGGCUCGUUGUGAUUAGAUUGCUGGUCAGUUAAUUUUGUAAUGUUUGGGAUUUAACUGAUGUUAUGAGAGGAUAUCAAAACAUUAGCUAACCUGUCUUCUCUCCUCUUGACGUCUCCUGGUUUUGUUUUUUUAUGGAACUUCGCAGCCCAGACACUUUUCUGGCGUCAUGUGGUCUUAUGUUGGUCUUUUGUCCACAAAAUGAAAAAAACAUAUGGUCGCUUCGGUGGUUUCUUCAGAUUUUAAGCUUUUAACCACAGGCGAAGGGAUUCCUCAUUCUUCGGCUGAGGGUGAAUGAAGUAGGGCGCCUCGUAUCCACAGCUUUUGUACACGGUCGAUGAUUAAAACACUCCUGCUCCACGUAAACCUUUCUUUUACACCCGUUACUAUGACAACCUCUAACCACACAAAUGAUCCCGGUCUUCCUCGAAGUCAUAAUGACGAGUAAUUUGAGACGAAGUAGCCGCAUGAGCCGCUUCUCAGAUAGCUAAACACUGACAGGAAGUGAGCGGGCGGAAGUCUCGCCCAAACAAACGUCAACUCGCUGCCUCCAUGUUUCCGUCAAAAAUAAGGUGGAUAUGCACGCGAGAAAGCAACAACAAAAAACCGCGUGUCAACGUCAAAUAAACGCAAGCAUAUCGAGUUAGCAAGCAU